rnacentral:lncRNA from 1 species
AGUGCUAAAGGAGAUGUUAAAUUUAUUCCCCAAAAAAAUUCCUAGAGGCUUUUCACUGAAGCACUUUAUUACAUCAUUAAGAUUUUUAUUUGUUUUUUGACAAAGUUAAGAUUAUUUGAAGUGUAAGGGAAGAACCAAUCAGAAACCCAUCAAAGAAAUUCCAAUAACAGAAACAACAAUUCCCAAGAGGCUUCUUCUUUGGAGAACAUCAGACCCAAGAAAAGAAUGGCAUCUUUGCUUUUUUAUGACAAUGAUUGCAACACAACUAAAAUUAUCCACAAGAGCUUUCAUUUUAUCAUUUAGUCCAUUCUGACUCUAACUCUUCUUGUGGACUCAGGGAUAAAUAGCAUCAGAUAAUAGCUGGCAUUUUAUUAAUUACAGAGCUGCUUGAAGAGUAAAAAGGAAAUGUUUUCUUAUGAAUAGUCAUAUUCAUCUGGUCCUAUUUUGUACUUCUCUGAUCUCAGAUUUUGUAUGUAUAUGAUUCUCUAUACAAUAGAGUAUUUCUGUGUUUAGAGAAUUAAUUAAUUCUGUCCUAUAAAGAUAGAUUAUAGUGUGUGUGUGUGUGUGUGUGUGUGUGUGUGUGUGCAGGAGGUUUUAGAAGAUAGGCUGUAAUAUGAAGUUUGAAGAAUAACAUUUAAAGUUCUCACAUCAGAUAUUAAAUUUCAUAAUUCACAAUUAGUAGCUUCUGUUUCUAUAAACAAUCAAAAUAAUUUGUGAAAGGUCAUAAGGGAUAUUUUUGAGACACAUUGAGCAAUGAGUUUAAAGUAUUAUGAUUUAUUCAAAAAGAUGGAGACAUGAAACACUUGGACAAUGAAAGAAUAGCUAAAAGAAAAUGCUUGACUUUACCAUUCAUCUUUAGAUUUUUUAAAAUCAUAUAAUAAAAUUCCUCAAACAUUAAUUGAUCUAACAUUCUAAGUUACCUCAAAAUUAAUUGAGUUCCCUUUCCAAAAAAGUAUAAGUUUCAGUGUAAGCAUAUGGCCUCAGACCUCUGUCAAGGAUGAUCCCAAAAUCAUAGAUUUUGAUCUAGAAGGAACCUUAAAAUCCAUUGGGUAAAAUCCUUUCAUUUUACAGGAAACUGGGGCACAAUGAUGUUAAGAAGAUUGCCCAGGAUCAUAUAGCAAGUAAACAUCAUAUAUGCUAUUUUCCUGACCCCAAAUCCAGUACUCAUUUCACUUAAUAUAGAUGCUUUCUUUUGAUAAAGUGUAGAGUUUACACUGAUGGACAAAUGCAAUGCUGCAUUGACCCCAAAUGUCUUUCUAUCCACCAAUUUUAGGACUCAGAAAUCAAAUUUUUUUUUCUC